CGGACGGGUGAGUAAUGUCUGGGAAACUGCCUGAUGGAGGGGGAUAACUACUGGAAACGGUAGCCAAUACCGCAUAACGUCGCAAGACCAAAGAGGGGACCUUCGGGCCUCUUGCCAUCGGAUGUGCCCAGAUGGGAUUAGCUAGUAGGUGGGGUAACGGCUCACCUAGGCGACGAUCCCUAGCUGGUCUGAGAGGAUGACCAGCCACACUGGAACUGAGACACGGUCCAGACUCCUACGGGAGGCAGCAUG
rnacentral:rRNA from 1 species